rnacentral:lncRNA from 1 species
AAUUUUUCAAGAAGGUUUCCCACUUCCACUUUAUAUUUAGCGUGUGAUAACCUCGACCUCCUCCCUUACCAACAUUGCACGUGUCAGAUAAUCAUUAGUCAAGUCCUUUUUGGCCUCUAUUUAUUCCGCCAACUUUAUGCCUUCUCACUUAACUACUUGCCCGUUCAUUUUCAGUUUCGUCGGAAAAAAAUGGCUACAUCGUUGUUGGCGUCUCUUUUCUUCACCUUUUGGGCGCUGCUUAUUUCACCGGCGAUUUCCCUCACCUGUUCCUCCCAGAAGUUUACGAAAAACCAAGUUUACUCCAACUGCCUCGACCUUCCUUCUCUCGCCUCUUACCUCCACUUCACUUACGACCCUUCUAAC